rnacentral:rRNA from 1 species
AUGGAGUCCUGGCGCGCCCAUUCGAGGGCCGCGUCGUCGUCGGCGAACUCCGCCUUCACCGGCGCCAGCCCCGGCUCCGUCUUUGGCUUGACGAAGCGCAGGGGAGCCGGCGAGGAGGAGGCGCGCCGGCCGCCCUCGUUGAUGACGAUGCCGGCGCUGCGAGUGCGCCGGCUGAGCGGCGUCUCCGCCGCGGGCUUGGCCUUGACGCCGAGCAGCGCCGGAGAGCCGGAGGAGUGUGAAGAAGAGCGUGAUGAGGAGGAAGAAGAGGAGGCGCCGAACCUCCCUGGCGCCCAUGGCCCGGCGCGUCGGUGCUGCGCCGGGGCUACCACCCUCGCCGGGGGGUACGCCAACGGCGGGUCGUUGCCGCCCUCGAGGUACGUGAGCACGCCCUCGAGUGUGCGGCCGGGGACGCCCCACCAGAGGUGGCGUCCCUCGCUGUUCUGCCGGCCGCCGACCACCGGCGCGCCGUUGGUGGACGCCAAGCGCUGCUGCUGGCGGCGCUCGAAAUACGCCGCCCAGGCCGCGUGGUUGUCAGCGGCGUACUGGGGGAGGGAGAGUUCGGCGUCGGUGAGGGAUGCGCGCACGAUCUCGACCUCCUCGGCAAAGUACUUCAGCUUCGCCACGCCGUCGGGCAACGGGGGAAUGGGCACUCCCCCGGCGCUGAGUCUCCACCCUGUUGGCCCGGCGCACAUGUCCGGCGGCGCUGGGAUGUUCGCCUGGAACAGGAGUCAGGACUCCUGUUCGCGGAGCGAACGGCGGCCGAAGCCGUUGGCCGCCGCCUUGUCUCCGGGGAAGCGUUCUGCCAUGGCGACGGCAGGGCUGGGCGGGCUCGGGAGAGGUAGAGGGAGGGGCUGGGCGGCGGCGCUCGGGAGAGGUAGGAAGAGGAAGGGGCUGGACGGCGGCGAGGGGCGGGGCUGGUGUGGGCACAGGCGAGUGGAGGCCGCCGGCUUUUAUAGCCGGGCCGCGCCCGUGUGUACGCGUGCGAGGGAGGGGAGGCGUCGGCGCGCCGUCCCGUGA